rnacentral:rRNA from 1 species
UACGGAGGAUGCAAGCGUUAUCCGGAAUGAUUGGGCGUAAAGCGUCCGUAGGUGGCUAUGCGUGUCUGCUGUCAAAGAGCGGGGCUCAACUCCGUAAAGGCAGUGGAAACUGCAUUGGCUAGAGUGUGGUAGGGGUAGAGGGAAUUCCCGGUGUAGCGGUGAAAUGCGUAGAGCUCGGGAAGAACACCGGUGGCGAAAGCGCUCUGCUGGACCAUAACUGACACUGAGGGACGAAAGCUAGGGGAGCGAAUGG